rnacentral:rRNA from 1 species
GACGAACGCUGGCGGCGUGCCUAACACAUGCAAGUCGAACGGUGUCCCCGCCUCGGCGGGGGCAUAGUGGCGCACGGGUGAGUAACGCGUGGGAACCUGCCCCGUGGUACGGAACAACUCCGGGAAACUGGAGCUAAUACCGUAUGUGUCCUGCGGGACAAAGAUUGUAUCGCCAUGGGAUGGGCCCGCGUAGGAUUAGCUAGUUGGCGGGGUAACGGCCCACCAAGGCGUCGAUCCUUAGCUGGUCUGAGAGGAUGAUCAGCCACACUGGGACUGAGACACGGCCCAGACACCUACGGGUGGCAG